UACGGAAGGCAGCAGUGGGGAAUAUUGCACAAUGGGCGCAAGCCUGAUGCAGCCAUGCCGCGUGUAUGAAGAAGGCCUUCGGGUUGUAAAGUACUUUCAGUCGUGAGGAAGGUGUUAAGGUUAAUAACCUUAGCAAUUGACGUUAGCGACAGAAGAAGCACCGGCUAACUCCGUGCCAGCAGCCGCGGUAAUACGGAGGGUGCGAGCGUUAAUCGGAAUUACUGGGCGUAAAGGGCACGCAGGCGGUUAAUUAAGUUGGAUGUGAAAUCCCCGGGCUUAACCUGGGAAUGGCAUUCAAGACUGGUUAGCUAGAGUCUUGUAGAGGGGGUAGAAUUCCAUGUGUAGCGGUGAAAUGCGUAGAGAUGUGGAGGAAUACCGGUGGCGAAGGCGGCCCCUGGACAAGACUGACGCUCA
rnacentral:rRNA from 1 species